AGAGUUUGAUCCUGGCUCAGGAUGAACGCUGGCGGCAUGCCUAAUACAUGCAAGUCGAACGGACAGAAGAGAAAAGCUUGCUUUUUUUGGAAGUCAGUGGCGAACGGGUGAGUAACACGUAGGUAACCUGCCCAUGUGCCCGGGAUAAUUUCUGGAAACGGAAACUAAAACCGGAUAGGUAGGGAUCUCGCAUGAGGACCUUAUUAAAGGGGCUGCGGCCCUGAACAUGGAUGGACCUGCGGUGCAUUAGCUGGUUGGUGGGGUAACGGCCUACCAAGGCGACGAUGCAUAGCCGACCUGAGAGGGUGAACGGCCACAUUGGGACUGAGACACGGCCCAAACUCCUACGGGAGGCAGCAGUAGGGAAUUUUCGUCAAUGGGGGGAACCCUGAACGAGCAAUGCCGCGUGAGUGAAGACGGUUUUCGGACUGUAAAGCUCUGUUGUAAGAGAAAAACGGCCGACAUAGGGAAUGAUGUCGGAGUGAUGGUAUCUUACCAGAAAGUCACGGCUAACUACGUGCCAGCAGCCGCGGUAAUACGUAGGUGGCGAGCGUUAUCCGGAAUGAUUGGGCGUAAAGGGUGCGUAGGCGGUACGGUAAGUCUGUAGUAAAAGGCGGCAGCUCAACUGUCGUAGGCUAUGGAAACUGUCGAACUAGAGUGCAGAAGAGGGCGAUGGAACUCCAUGUGUAGCGGUAAAAUGCGUAGAUAUAUGGAAGAACACCAGUGGCGAAGGCGGUCGCCUGGUCUGUAACUGACGCUGAAGCACGAAAGCGUGGGGAGCAAAUAGGAUUAGAUACCCUAGUAGUCCACGCCGUAAACGAUGAGAACUAAGUGUUGGGGGAAUAACUCAGUGCUGCAGUUAACGCAAUAAGUUCUCCGCCUGGGGAGUAUGCACGCAAGUGUGAAACUCAAAGGAAUUGACGGGGGCCCGCACAAGCGGUGGAGUAUGUGGUUUAAUUCGAAGCAACGCGAAGAACCUUACCAGGCCUUGACAUCCCCGGCGAAGACAUGGAGACAUGUUGGAGGUUAACCGGGAGACAGGUGGUGCAUGGUUGUCGUCAGCUCGUGUCGUGAGAUGUUGGGUUAAGUCCCGCAACGAGCGCAA
rnacentral:rRNA from 1 species